rnacentral:rRNA from 1 species
UGGGGAAUAUUGCACAAUGGGGGGAACCCUGAUGCAGCGACGCCGCGUGAGUGAAGAAGUAUUUCGGUAUGUAAAGCUCUAUCAGCAGGGAAGAAGAUGACGGUACCUGACUAAGAAGCCCCGGCUAACUACGUGCCAGCAGCCGCGGUAAUACGUAGGGGGCAAGCGUUAUCCGGAUUUACUGGGUGUAAAGGGAGCGUAGACGGCAGGGCAAGUCUGGAGUGAAAGCCCGGGGCCCAACCCCGGGACUGCUUUGGAAACUGCCAUGCUGGAGUGCUGGAGAGGUAAGCGGAAUUCCUAGUGUAGCGGUGAAAUGCGUAGAUAUUAGGAGGAACACCAGUGGCGAAGGCGGCUUACUGGACAGUAACUGACGUUGAGGCUCGAAAGCGUGGGGAGCAAACAGG